GACGAACGCUGGCGGCGUGCCUAAUACAUGCAAGUUGAACGCAACAAAGACACCAGAGCUUGCUCUACCGUCUUUGUUGAGUAGCGAACGGGUGAGUAACGCGUGGGUAACCUGCCUUAUAGCGGGGGAUAACUAUUGGAAACGAUAGCUAAUACCGCAUAACAAUAGAGAUUGCAUAAUCUUUAUUUGAAAGUGCCAACUGGUACACUAUGAGAUGGACCCGCGUUGUAUUAGCUAGUUGGUAGUGUAAUGGACUACCAAGGCGAUGAUACAUAGCCGACCUGAGAGGGUGAUCGGCCACAUUGGGACUGAGACACGGCCAAACUCCUACGGGAGGCAG
rnacentral:rRNA from 1 species